UUUGCAGCCUUGUCCAGCUGCUCCCUGCAAGGACUGUUGCAUGUGAGCACAACAAGGUGGCAGAAAGCAACUCAAAGAAUGAAAAGGCGUGACUUCUGGAGGCUCAGGAGUGUCACGUGCGAUGUUCCUUGGACAGUUUCCUGCCUUCCACGGCGGUGAUGGCCUCGCUCUGUAGCCAUCACCUUUCUUGAGGCAGGCAGAGUAAAAACCUUGACAGCCUGAUAUUGUUUGAAACAGGUGAAGCUCUUCCUGUCAGACACUUUCAGCUGUCACAAAA